rnacentral:lncRNA from 1 species
AGGUGAGUAUCACUGGAGAUCGCACAGCAAGUUAAUAAUAAGGUGAGAAAACAGAAGCUCCAGAAAUUAAUUAGUCCUCCCCAGCUAUAACUGCUGGUAAGCAGUACUUUGUAUGAAGCCGAUGUUCUCAAACUGUGUCUUGCUGCCAUCCAUCAAUUGCAACAGCCCGGAGUUGUCAUAAUAGCAGCAGUACUUUAAAAUUUGGACAGCAAUUUGAACUAUAGACAAAAGUCACUAUAGCCUAUAAUGGACUGAUACAACAAAAACUUCCACAAAGGACACAUUGGACAUGGUUAGGGAAGAAAGGACAUGAAUCAAAACAGAAGUGGAGUUUUUUUGUUUCAACACAUAGACAUUUCUCAAUUUCCUCACACAAAUGGAAGCCACUUAUGGGCUAUAAAAUUCAAAAAACAUAUCACACAUGCACAUGCAUGCUUAUAGCAGCACAACUCGCAAUUGCAAAGAUAUGGAACCAACCUAAGUGCCCAUCAACCAACGAGUUGAUAAAGAAAAUGUGGUAUAUACACACCAUGGAAUACUCCUCAGCCAUAAAAAGGAACAAAAUAAUGCUUUUUGCAGGAACCUGGAUGGAGCCGGAGGCUAUGUUUCUAAGUGAAGUGUAAUAACUCAGGAAUGGACAACCAAAUAUUGUAUGUUCUCACUCAUAAGUGGGAGCUAAGCUAUGAGGAUGCAAAGGCAUAAGAAUGAUAAAAUGGACUUUGGGGACUUCGGGGAGGUGGGGAUGGGGAUGAGGGAUAAAAGUCUACACAUUGGGUAUAGUCUACACUGCUUGGGAGAUAGGUGGAUCCAAAUCUCAGAAAUUACCACCAAAGAACUUAUCCAUGUGCCCCCAAAACCACCCAUACCCCAGAAAUUAUUGAAAUAAAAAUAAAAAAUAAUUAUUAAAACCAAACCAAAACAAACCAAAAUAUGACACUGUGGUACAUAAAUAGUUUGGUUUAAAUUGGAUUCAGUUUAAGAUUUUUGAUAUUAGAAUUAAAUAUAGUUUCCUUUCUGAUAUAACAGAAAGUGUAAAUACCUCAAACAAACAAGAUGAUGAAGGCAGCUUAUGAAUAAGUAACACAAAAAUCC